rnacentral:tRNA from 1 species
CCUUCGAUAGCUCAGUUGGUAGAGCGGAGGACUGUAGGUUGAUAAUUACAGGCAUCCUUAGGUCGCUGGUUCAAUUCCGGCUCGAAGGA